GAGUUUGAUCAUGGCUCAGAACGUACGCUGGCGGCACGCCUAACACAUGCAAGUCGAACGAAGUAGCAAUACUUAGUGGCAGACGGGUGAGUAACAUGUAGGUAUCUGCCCUUUGGCCAGGAAUAACACGAGGAAACUUGUGCUAAUACCGGAUAAGUCUUUACGGAGAAAGCUUUAUGCACCAUUGGAUGAGCCUGCACUUGAUUAGUUUGUUGGUGGGGUAAUGGCCUACCAAGACUGUGAUCAAUAGCUGAUUUGAGAGGAUGAUCAGCCACAUUGGGACUGAGACACGGCCCAAACUCCUACGGGAGGCAGCAGUGGGGAAUCUUGCACAAUGGAGGAAACUCUGAUGCAGCGAUGCCGCGUGAGUGAAGAAGGCCCUUGGGUUGUAAAGCUCUUUCGUCGGGGAAGAAAAUGACUGUACCCGAAUAAGAAGGUCCGGCUAACUUCGUGCCAGCAGCCGCGGUAAUACGAAGGGACCUAGCGUAGUUCGGAAUUACUGGGCUUAAAGAGUUCGUAGGUGGUUGAAAAAGUUAGUGGUGAAAUCCCAGAGCUUAACUCUGGAACUGCCAUUAAAACUUUUCAGCUAGAGUAUGAUAGAGGAAAGCAGAAUUUCUAGUGUAGAGGUGAAAUUCGUAGAUAUUAGAAAGAAUACCAAUUGCGAAGGCAGCUUUCUGGAUCAUUACUGACACUGAGGAACGAAAGCAUGGGUAGCGAAGAGGAUUAGAUACCCUCGUAGUCCAUGCCGUAAACGAUGUGUGUUAGACGUUGGAAAUUUAUUUUCAGUGUCGCAGGGAAACCGAUAAACACACCGCCUGGGGAGUACGACCGCAAGGUUAAAACUCAAAUGAAUUGACGGGGACCCGCACAAGUAGUGGAGCAUGUGGUUUAAUUCGAAGAUACGCGCAGAACCUCACCAACACUUGACAUGUUCGUCGCGACUCUAAGAGAUUAGAGUUUUCGGUUCGGCCGGACAAAACACAGGUGCUGCAUGGCUGUCGUCAGCUCGUGUCGUGAGAUGUUGGGUUAAGUCCCGCAACGAGCGCAACCCUCACUUUUAGUUGCCAUCAUUAAGUUGGGCACUCUGAAAGAACUGCCAGUGAUAAGCUGGAGGAAGGUGGGGAUGACGUCAAGUCCUCAUGGCCCUUACGUGUUGGGCCACACACGUGCUACAAUGGUAUCUACAACAGGAAGCAAGACUGCGAAGUUAAGCAAAUCCCUAAAAGAUACCUCAGUUCGGAUUGCACUCUGCAACUCGAGUGCAUGAAGCUGGAAUUACUAGUAAUCGUGGAUCAGCGUGCCACGGUGAAUGCGUUCCCGGGUCUUGUACACACCGCCCGUCACACCAUGGGAGUUGGUUCUACCUUAAGGCAAGGUUUCAAACCCUAGACCACGGUAUAGUCAGCGACUGGGGUGAAGUCGUAACAAGGUAACC
rnacentral:rRNA from 1 species